AAGAGUAGAAGAUGAAAGGGGAUUACAUCAAUCACUGAUCCUCUGUUUGUACAAUAAAUACUGAAUAACUCUCCUCCUGGUUAGAGUGUUUUUAAUGUUCUAUUGACCACAUUUAAUAAGAUAAAUAUUGGACUCCACUGUAAGUGAGAAGUAACUCGAUCCUGGUUUGCAUCUUUGUGGCAAAGGAUUCAUACUUCAGGAUAGUAACGACACAACAUAUAACCAAAGUUUUGCAGGAACUAUUUGAUGCUAUUUGAACUAUUUGAUGCUAUUUGAGUGUCAGUGUCAGGUCUGACGGUGCCCCGACCGGCGACCUGUGUGUAUGUGUGUGUUUGUUCUCCUCUCUCUCGCUCUGUUUUUUCCUCUCCGGCUCCGCUGCGAUUGUUACGCGGUCGCGUAGCAACGGGAGAUCUCCGACCCGGAAGUGCUGCCGCUCUGAGCUGUCCCACCUGCGACUGAUUCCUCGCCAGCUGCUGCCAAUCGUCCACCGUCGUUGGCAGAGCUAUUUAAUGGUGUGGCUGAGUGACAGACAGCGCUGGAGUAUUGCACCAAGCCUGGAAGCGAACGAGACGGAGAGACGGAAGGAGAGACGUCACUGAUUCACGGGAGUUGUGUGGACACACGAGGGGAGACGGGGAGAGGAGCACUGAAGGGACUUGCACUAUGGAUAACUGUGGAUUGGCUUCACUGUAAAUAAAGACACUGUUGAACUUUAACGAGAGGUCCGCGUCUGGGUUCACUAACUCACCAUCCUUAACACUCAGUGACUUUCCGCAACAGUUGUCAGACCUCAAUUCCUCUUAACAUGUAGCUGUGGAGAGAGUUCUCAGAAAGGUCCUGAAUAGCUGGCCCACAAGGAAACUUGAGAUGGGAAACGCUGAAGCUAGAAGGUUAGCAGCGACUGAAGUUUCAAAAUAAGUAAGGGCAUUACUUAAUAGUCAGUAAAACACUCUAUAACCUAUGUCUGGGUCUUUAAAGUUUACACAGGGCUGACUUCACAAGAAGCUCUGUGGAAAUUUAAAGUGGUGGCGGAAUGACGUGGGUUGUCGCCUAUGAACAGAAAAGUGGAUAAAGUUCAUGCAGCUUUUGUGCUGCUGUUGCAAAAAGGAAGGAACAAAUACAGACAAAAUAAUAAUAAAUACCUGAUUUGAAAUUCAUGCACAUUUUUAGUUUUUCCAUUUCUUAUUCAGAUAUUUAUCAAUAAGUGACUUAUAUGCAUGUAUAUAUUGUAUAUAUUGUGCUAUUCCUUACUUCUUGUAUCUUGUAUCUGUCUUUGUUACUGUUUGUACUGUAACCAAUAUAUUUCCCCCAGGGAUCAAUAAAGUAUUCUGAGUCUCAUUCUA